AGAGUUUGAUCAUGGCUCAGAUUGAACGCUGACGGUAUGCUUAACACAUGCAAGUCGAACGGCAACACGAGUAAGCUUGCUUACUUGGUGGCAAGUGGCGGACGGGUGAGUAAUACGUAGGAAUCUGCCCUAAAGUGGGGGACAACCCGGGGAAACUCGGGCUAAUACCGCAUAACCUCUUUGGAGCAAAGUCGGGGACCUUCGGGCCUGACGCUUUAGGAUGAGCCUACGUCGGAUUAGCUAGUUGGUAGGGUAAAGGCCUACCAAGGCAACGAUCCGUAGCUGGUCUGAGAGGACGACCAGCCACACUGGGACUGAGAUACGGCCCAGACUCCUACGGGAGGCAGCAGUGGGGAAUAUUGGACAAUGGGGGCAACCCUGAUCCAGCAAUACCGUGUGUGUGAAGAAGGCCUUCGGGUUGUAAAGCACUUUUAGUGGGGAAAAAUGGCUUAAGACUAAUACUCUUAAGAAGUGAUGUUACCCACAGAAAAAGCACCGGCUAACUCUGUGCCAGCAGCCGCGGUAAUACAGAGGGUGCAAGCGUUAAUCGGAAUUACUGGGCGUAAAGCGCUCGUAGGUGGAUAUCUAAGUCGGAUGUGAAAUCCCCGGGCUUAACCUGGGAACUGCAUUCGAGACUGGAUGUCUAGAGUAUGGUAGAGGAAAGUGGAAUUCCCGGUGUAGCGGUGAAAUGCGUAGAUAUCGGGAAGAACACCAGUGGCGAAAGCGGCUUUCUGGACCAAUACUGACACUGAAGGAGCGAAAGCGUGGGAGCAACAGGAUUAGAGACCCU
rnacentral:rRNA from 1 species